GAUUAUGGAACAGUGGGAAAAGAACUACUACAUCAGCUCAAUAGCUGGUGCAGCUAAUGGAAGUUCCUUGGUCGUUAUGUCCAAAGGAACUCCUUAUACACAACAGUCUUACAAAGUGAGUGAAUCUUUUCCCUUUAAAUGGAUAAACAAAAAAUGGAAAGAAGGUUUCCAUGUAACAUCAAUGACCACUGCUGGCAGUCGCUGGGGUGUG
rnacentral:misc_RNA from 1 species